UACGGAGGAUGCAAGCGUUAUCCGGAAUGAUUGGGCGUAAAGCGUCCGCAGGUGGCUAUGUAAGUCUGCUGUUAAAGAGCAAGGCUCAACCUUGUAAAGGCAGUGGAAACUACAUGGCUAGAGUGCGUUCGGGGCAGAGGGAAUUCCUGGUGUAGCGGUGAAAUGCGUAGAGAUCAGGAAGAACACCGGUGGCGAAAGCGCUCUGCUAGGCCGCAACUGACACUGAGGGACGAAAGCUAGGGGAGCGAAUGGG
rnacentral:rRNA from 1 species